GACGGGGAGCUUGCUCCUUUGACGUUAGCGGCGGACGGGUGAGUAACACGUAGGUAACCUACCUAUAAGACUGGGAUAACUUCGGGAAACCGGAGCUAAUACCGGAUAAUAUUUCGAACCGCAUGGUUCGAUAGUGAAAGAUGGCUUUGCUAUCACUUAUAGAUGGACCUGCGCCGUAUUAGCUAGUUGGUAAGGUAACGGCUUACCAAGGCAACGAUACGUAGCCGACCUGAGAGGGUGAUCGGCCACACUGGAACUGAGACACGGUCCAGACUCCUACGGGAGGCAGCAGUAGGGAAUCUUCCGCAAUGGGCGAAAGCCUGACGGAGCAACGCCGCGUGAGUGAUGAAGGUCUUCGGAUCGUAAAACUCUGUUAUUAGGGAAGAACAAACGUGUAAGUAACUGUGCACGUCUUGACGGUACCUAAUCAGAAAGCCACGGCUAACUACGUGCCAGCAGCCGCGGUAAUACGUAGGUGGCAAGCGUUAUCCGGAAUUAUUGGGCGUAAAGCGCGCGUAGGCGGUUUUUUAAGUCUGAUGUGAAAGCCCACGGCUCAACCGUGGAGGGUCAUUGGAAACUGGAAAACUUGAGUGCAGAAGAGGAGGGUGGAAUUCCAUGUGUAACGGUGAAAUGCGCAGAGAUAUGGAGGAACACCAGUGGAGAAGGGGACUUUCUGGACUGUAACUGACGCUGAUGUGCGAAGCGUGGGGAUCAACAGGAUUACAUACC
rnacentral:rRNA from 1 species